CGGAGAGCUGGGCGGGGUGAGCGGGCGGUAGCCGCGAGGGCAGGACGCAGAAGCCGGCUGGCUGAUUGGAGCCUGAAGUCUCCAGAUCCGAACCUCUAUCACGGCACAUAAGAACACCUUUUCUCCCCAGGUGUGACACCUACCUGUUGUACCCCCUAGACCCAGUCCCACCAGUAAUCCAGCUGAAACCAGCAGGCAGUUAACCGAUCUGGGAACAGGCUGCGCUGGAAACUGCCCAUUUCUCCGUGUGUUAUGUGUCAAAUUGUAAAGCCCACUCAAUCGCAGAGAAAGAUUGCUGUAAGCAACCUGGCUUCUAAACUCAGUCAGUGCAUCUGACUUUCAAUAAAAAGAGAGUCCAUCACAUCACCUGUACCCACCAGUGCCACCUCCCCUUUGCUGACCGUCUUGGACCUAACCUCCUUUCCACUGGCCACUCCAGGACUUCCAUCAGUGUCAAUGGAUCAAAAGGCAACAUGGAGUCGCAUAUGGAAAGAAACAGAAAUUGGGGGUAGAGAUUAUUGCAACUGCUUCUCACUUGCUGCUUACAAGUUCUAUAUCUUGGGCGUUGUAAGUUCCCAUUCUCCCCAAAAUCCACUCGGUUUCGUCCAAUCCUUUGAACACAGCAAAUGAAGAACUACAAUAAUAAAAAUCUCACA